rnacentral:rRNA from 1 species
GCAGCAAUUGACGUUACCCGCAGAAGAAGCCCCGGCUAACUCCGUGCCAGCAGCCGCGGUAAUACGGAGGGGGCUAGCGUUGUUCGGAAUUACUGGGCGUAAAGGGCGUGUAGGCGGCCCGUCAAGUCAGGCGUGAAAGCCCUGGGCUUAACCUAGGAGGUGCGCUUGAAACUGAUGGGCUUGAGACCGGGAGAGGAGAGUGGAAUUCCCAGUGUAGAGGUGAAAUUCGUAGAUAUUGGGAAGAACACCAGUGGCGAAGGCGGUUCUCUGGGCCUUUCCUGACGCUGAGGAGCGAAAGCGUGGGGAGCGAACAGGCUUAGAUACCCUGGUAGUCCACGCUGUAAACGGUGGGUACUAGGUGUGGGGUCCAUUCCACGGGUUCCGUGCCGUAGCUAACGCUUUAAGUACCCCGCCUGGGGAGUACGGCCGCAAGGCUAAAACUCAAAGGAAUUGACGGGGGCCCGCACAAGCGGCGGAGCGCGUGGUUUAAUUCGAUGAUAACCGAAGAACCUCACCAGGGUUUGACAUGCAAGUGGUAGUGAUCCGAAAGGUGAACGACCCGCAAGGGAGCUUGCACAGGUGUUGCAUGGCUGCCGUCAGCUCGUGGCGUGAGCUGUAUGGUUAAGUCCCAUAACGAGCGCAACCCCUACCCUUAGUUAGCAAUGUCUAGGGGAACUGCCCCGGUAACGGGGAGGAAGGUGGGGACGACGUCAAGUCAGCAUGGCCCUUAUGCCCUGGGCAACACACACGCUACAAUGGCGACUACAACGGGUUGCGAAGCGGCAACGUGAAGCUAAUCCCUUAAAAGUCGUCUCAGUUCGGAUUGGGGGCUGAAACUCGCCCCCAUGAAGUUGGAAUCGCUAGUAAUGGCCGGUCAGCUAUACGGCCGUGAAUACGUUCUCGGAACUUGUACACACCGCCCGUCAAAUGGGGAAAGUUGGGGCUAGCCGAACCUCGCCGUAAGGUGGGGGAAGUUGGAACCAGCGAUCAACAUUAAGUCGUAACAAGGUAGCCGUAGGGGAACCUGCGGCUG